GAAAAAUCCACUGCAAAAUAUGUCUCUAAUAACAGAGGAGAUUAGAGCAAGUGCAACUGAAUUCUACACUGGAAAUGAUAUCUGUCAAGAGAAAUCAAAGUUCUUGUUAACAGAAAUGAACCUCCCAAAUGGGCUUCUCCCUAUGCAAGACAUGUUAGAAUGUGGCUAUGUUAAAGACACUGGCUUUGUUUGGCUCAAAUCAAAGAAAAAAACAGAGCACAAAUUUGAAAAAAUUGAUAGAUCAGUCCAAUAUGCAACUGAAGUGACAGCUUAUGUUGAGCCCAAUAAGAUCAAGAAACUUACUGGGGUUAAAGCUAAAGAGCUUCUAAUGUGGCUAACGCUCAAUGAAAUUUGUGUUGAUGAGCCAUCCACUGGGAAAAUCCAUUUCAAGUCUCCAACUGGUCUUGCUAGGACUUUCCCUGUUUCAGCCUUUGAACUUGAUGUCCCCAAAAAGGAAGUCAAAGAAGAAGCCAAUGAAGUGAGUGUUGCUACAGUUGAAGUGAAAGAGGUGUAAGAAAU
rnacentral:misc_RNA from 1 species